rnacentral:rRNA from 1 species
UACGUAGGGUGCAAGCGUUAAUCGGAAUUACUGGGCGUAAAGCGUGCGCAGGCGGUUAGGAAAGAAAGGUGUGAAAUCCCCGAGCUUAACUUGGGAACUGCACUUUUAACUACCUGGCUAGAGUGUGUCAGAGGGAGGUGGAAUUCCGCGUGUAGCAGUGAAAUGCGUAGAGAUGCGGAGGAACACCGAUGGCGAAGGCAGCCUCCUGGGAUAACACUGACGCUCAUGCACGAAAGCGUGGGGAGCAAACAGG